CUCUAUCGAUAUCCACUCAGGCAGGACCUAGAAUAUCUUCUUCUCACAAAUCUACACUCCAAAAAUUAGAUCUCUAUCUGAUCUGAAAGUGCUUCAGAACUCCUUCUGAAGUUGGAGCAACAGCCUGUCGAAGAUGUCCUGCAACCUUCUGUUCCAGGCGUCACCACGCCUUGGACCUUUGCCAGAUGGAUGUCCAACUCCUUGGAUGUGAAGAGGGGAGAG
rnacentral:lncRNA from 1 species